rnacentral:tRNA from 1 species
CCUUCGAUAGCUCAGUUGGUAGAGCGGAGGACUGUAGGUUGAUAAUAGCAGGUAUCCUUAGGUCGCUGGUUCAAUUCUGGCUCGAAGGA